AAUAAAUUGAACAUUAUAAAUAUGAAUUUAUCCUAAUGCAGUGUAAAUAAAACGCAUAUCAAACCUCAACAUGUUCUAUCUGUUUCAUAACCAUAUCGAACACGUAUUGUAUUCCUAUUGCUUCAAAGUAAAAAUUACGUUUCAAAACGUUUGGGUUUGAGAAUAUCACAGUCAACGUCCCUGCUUCAGUAAGAACCAGACACCAGUGAACAAAUACCAACACUAGUAUGUGUAAACCUGUUUGUCAAUUUGUUUACCUCUAUCUCUUAUCAUUGAGCUGAGAACUGAGUACUUGGCACUUGGUACUUUGCAUUCCUCAUCGCCUUCUGGGCACAUACGUCGGAUGUACCAAGAGGCUGCUGAAGAUCCGAAUCUCCUCUCAUCAGGGAGUCAGUUACGGGACGCCUGGAAAAUGUAUCAAGCGAUACGAAACGUCAGCCUUUAAAUAAAACGGAUAUAAACAGAACGCCUUUCCAUGAACUUCAAAUUGCCUACCAGAAAUUUGUUUGCCCUUUUCUUUUGGCUGUUCUUUAUCGUAGCC